GACCUGGCUGGGCGGUCCGCUUAACGGCGUGUACUGUCUGGCUGGGCCUUACCUCUUGGUGAGCCGGCGUGCCCUUUAUUGGUGUGCGUCGGGGAACCAGGACUUUUACCUUGAAAAAAUUAGAGUGUUUAAAACAGGCGUUUGCUUGAAUACAUUAGCAUGGAAUAACGGAAUAGGACU
rnacentral:rRNA from 1 species